UACGUAGGGUGCGAGCGUUGUCCGGAAUUACUGGGCGUAAAGAGCUCGUAGGCGGUUUGUUGCGUUGUUCGUGAAAUCUCACGGCUUAACUGUGAGCGUGCGGGCGAUACGGGCAGACUAGAGUACUGCAGGGGAGACUGGAAUUCCUGGUGUAGCGGUGGAAUGCGCAGAUAUCAGGAGGAACACCAAUAGCGAAGGCAGCUCGCUGGGACGUUACUGACACUGAGGCGCGAAAGCGUGGGGAGCGAACAGG
rnacentral:rRNA from 1 species